GCACUGGUCUCUCCUCUGGGCCCACAGGUACAGCAUCUGAUAGCAAUAGCAUUAGCACUGGUCUCUCCUCUGGGCCCCUGCCAAGGUACAGCAUCUGAUAGCAAUAGCAUUAGCACUGGUCUCUCCUCUGGGCCCCUGCCAAGGUACAGCAUCUGAUAGCAAUAGCAUUAGCACUGGUCUCUCCUCUGGGCCCACAGGUACAGCAUCUGAUAGCAAUAGCAUUAGCACUGGUCUCUCCUCUGGGCCCCUGCCAAGGUACAGCAUCUGAUAGCAAUAGCAUUAGCAUUGGUCUCUCCUCUGGGCCCACAGGUACAGCAUCUGAUAGCAAUAGCAUUAGCACUGGUCUCUCCUCUGGGCCCCUGCCAAGGUACAGCAUCUGAUAGCAAUAGCAUUAGCACUGGUCUCUCCUCUGGGCCCACAGGUACAGCAUCUGAUAGCAAUAGCAUUAGCACUGGUCUCUCCUCUGGGCCCCUGCCAAGGUACAGCAUCUGAUAGCAAUAGCAUUAGCACUGGUCUCUCCUCUGGGCCCCUGCCAAGGUACAGCAUCUGAUAGCAAUAGCAUUAGCACUGGUCUCUCCUCUGGGCCCACAGGUACAGCAUCUGAUAGCAAUAGCAUUAGCACUGGUCUCUCCUCUGGGCCCCUGCCAAGGUACAGCAUCUGAUAGCAAUAGCAUUAGCAUUGGUCUCUCCUCUGGGCCCACAGGUACAGCAUCUGAUAGCAAUAGCAUUAGCACUGGUCUCUCCUCUGGGCCCCUGCCAAGGUACAGCAUCUGAUAGCAAUAGCAUUAGCACUGGUCUCUCCUCUGGGCCCACAGGUACAGCAUCUGAUAGCAAUAGCAUUAGCACUGGUCUCUCCUCUGGGCCCCUGCCAAGGUACAGCAUCUGAUAGCAAUAGCAUUAGCACUGGUCUCUCCUCUGGGCCCCUGCCAAGGUACAGCAUCUGAUAGCAAUAGCAUUAGCACUGGUCUCUCCUCUGGGCCCCUGCCAAGGUACAGCAUCUGAUAGCAAUAGCAUUAGCACUGGUCUCUCCUCUGGGCUCCUGCCAAGGUACAGCAUCUGAUAGCAAUAGCAUUAGCACUGGUCUCUCCUCUGGGCCCACAGGUACAGCAUCUGAUAGCAAUAGCAUUAGCACUGGUCUCUCCUCUGGGCUCCUGCCAAGGUACAGCAUCUGAUAGCAAUAGCAUUAGCACUGGUCUCUCCUCUGGGCCCACAGGUACAGCAUCUGAUAGCAAUAGCAUUAGCACUGGUCUCUCCUCUGGGCCCCUGCCAAGGUACAGCAUCUGAUAGCAAUAGCAUUAGCAUUGGUCUCUCCUCUGGGCCCACAGGUACAGCAUCUGAUAGCAAUAGCAUUAGCACUGGUCUCUCCUCUGGGCCCCUGCCAAGGUACAGCAUCUGAUAGCAAUAGCAUUAGCACUGGUCUCUCCUCUGGGCCCCUGCCAAGGUACAGCAUCUGAUAGCAAUAGCAUUAGCACUGGUCUCUCCUCUGGGCCCCUGCCAAGGUACAGCAUCUGAUAGCAAUAGCAUUAGCACUGGUCUCUCCUCUGGGCUCCUGCCAAGGUACAGCAUCUGAUAGCAAUAGCA